rnacentral:rRNA from 1 species
AGAGUUUGAUCUUGGCUCAGGACGAACGCUGGCGGCAUGCCUAAUACAUGCAAGUCGAACNAUGAUAUCACUGCUUGCAGUGAUUGAUUAGUGGCGAACGGGUGAGUAACACGUGAGGAACUUGCCCAUGAGCGGGGGACAACAUUCGGAAACGGAUGCUAAUACCCCAUAGGUGGAUUGGUCGCAUGACGAAUUCAUUAAAGGUGGCUUUGCUACCACUCAUGGAUAGCCUCGCGGCGUAUUAGCUAGUUGGUAAGGUAAUGGCUUACCAAGGCAGUGAUACGUAGCCGACUUGAGAGGGUGAUCGGCCACACUGGGACUGAGACACGGCCCAGACUCCUACGGGAGGCAGCAGUAGGGAAUCUUCCACAAUGGGUGCAAACCUGAUGGAGCAAUGCCGCGUGAGUGAAGAAGGUCUUCGGAUCGUAAAGCUCUGUUGUUAGAGAAGAACACGUGCUAGGUAACUACUAGCGCCUUGACGGUAUCUAACCAGAAAGUCACGGCUAACUACGUGCCAGCAGCCGCGGUAAUACGUAGGUGACAAGCGUUGUCCGGAUUUAUUGGGCGUAAAGGGAGCGCAGGCGGUCUGUUUAGUCUAAUGUGAAAGCCCACGGCUUAACCGUGGAACGGCAUUGGAAACUGACAGACUUGAAUGUAGAAGAGGAAAAUGGAAUUCCAAGUGUAGCGGUGGAAUGCGUAGAUAUUUGGAGGAACACCAGUGGCGAAGGCGAUUUUCUGGUCUAACAUUGACGCUGAGGCUCGAAAGCGUGGGGAGCGAACAGGAUUAGAUACCCUGGUAGUCCACGCCGUAAACGAUGAGUGCUAAGUGUUGGGGGCUUUCCGGCCCUCGGUGCUGGAGCUAACGUAUUAAGCACUCCGCCUGGGGAUUACGACCGCAAGGUUGAAACUCAAAAGAAUUGACGGGGACCCGCACAAGCGGUGGAGCAUGUGGUUUAAUUCGAAGCAACGCGAAGAACCUUACCAGCUCUUGACAUCUUCUGACAACUCUAGAGAUAGAGCGUUCCCUUCGGGGACAGAAGACAGGUUGAAACUCAAAAGAAUUGACGGGGACCCGCACAAGCGGUGGAGCAUGUGGUUUAAUUCGAAGCAACGCGAAGA